AUUCUUGGUCAUUUUAGAGGAAGUAAAAGUCGUAACAAGGUUUCCGUCCGUAGGUGAACCUGCGGAAGGAUCAUUAUUGAACAAACUUGGUGGGUUGUUGCUGGCCUCUGGGGGCAUGUGCACACCUGCCUUCGUUUCUUCUCUUCACCACCUGUGCACAUUUUGUAGACUUGGAUAUCUUUCGAGGCGACUCGGUCAGGGAGCUGUCAUUGAGGCUGCUCCUACCUUUCCGGUCUAUGUUUCUUUCAUGUACGCCAUUGUAUGUUACAGAAUGUUAUCAAUCGGGCAUUUGAAAAGCCUAUAAACUUAUACAACUUUCAACAACGGAUCUCUUGGCUCUCGCAUCGAUGAAGAACACAGCGAAAUGCGAUAAGUAAUGUGAAUUGCAGAAUUCAGUGAAUCAUCGAAUCUUUGAACGCACCUUGCGCUCCUUGGUAUUCCGAGGAGCAUGCCUGUUUGAGUGUCAUUAAAUUCUCAAUCCAUGUGAUUUUUGUUACAUGGACUUGGAUGUGGGAGCUUGCAGGCUUCUUUCGAGUCUGCUCUCCUUAAAUGCAUUAGUGGGACUUGUCGCUACAGUCUGCGGUGUGAUAAUUAUCUAUGCCUCGACUGGUGCAGCUUUUUAUGGUCCGGCUUCAAACGGUCCAUUCAGUUGGACAGCUUCUUGACAAUUUGACCUCAAAUCAGGUAGGACUACCCGCUGAACUUAAGCAUAUCAAUAAGCGGAGGAAAAGAAACUAACAAGGAUUCCCCUAGUAACUGCGAGUGAAGCGGGAAAAGCUCAAAUUUAAAAUCUGGCAGUCUUUGGCUGUCCGAGUUGUAAUCUAGAGAAGUGCUAUCCGCGCUGGACCGUGUAUAAGUCUCCUGAAU
rnacentral:sRNA from 1 species